rnacentral:tRNA from 1 species
UGUAGGGUGGUGAAAUUGGCAGACACACCUCCUUGUCUCGGUGGCGAAGAUUUGGGAAAUAGCCGCAAGGUGAAAUAACUGCUUCGUGUAGGUUCGACUCCUACCCCUACAG